rnacentral:rRNA from 1 species
AGGGGCAUUUUGUGCACACCCUGAUCGUUGUCCGUUUCACACCUGUGCACACACUGUAGGUUGGCUUUCCGGGUGAAGCCUUUCACUGGCUUUGCUUUGUGGCCCUCCUAUGUUUUUAUCACAAACUACCCUGUUCAAAGAAUGUCUAUCGCGUGUAACGCAUCAUAUACAACUUUCAGCAACGGAUCUCUUGGCUCUCGCAUCGAUGAAGAACGCAGCGAAAUGCGAUAAGUAAUGUGAAUUGCAGAAUUCAGUGAAUCAUCGAAUCUUUGAACGCACCUUGCGCUCCUUGGUAUUCCGAGGAGCAUGCCUGUUUGAGUGUCACGGAAUUAUCAACUCUCUUUGCUUAUGCGAAUAGAUGUUGGAUUUGGAGGUGUAUUGCCGGGAAUACAUUAUUUGUGUUCGGCUCCUCUUGAAUGCAUUAGCUCGAGCCUUUGUGAAUCAGCUUUGGUGUGAUAAUUGUCUACGCCUUUCUGUGAAACGUACUGUGGGACUCGGCUUCUAACCGUCCGUUGAACGGACAAUACCAUAUGACCUCUGACCUCAAAUCAGGUAGGGUUACCCGCUGAACUUAAGCAUAUCAAUAAGCGGAGGA